AAGAAAUCAACCGAGAUUCCGAAAGUAGCGGCGAGCGAAAUUGGACUAGCCCUUAAGCUUUACACGCGUUAGACGAACGGUCUGGAAAGUCCGACGAUACAGGGUGAUAGUCCCGUAGUUGACGACGUGUGUUCAGUGAAAUCGAGUAGGGCGGGACACGUGAUAUCCUGUCUGAAUAUGGGGGGACCAUCCUCCAAGGCUAAAUACUACUGACUGACCGAUAGUGAACCAGUACCGUGAGGGAAAGGCGAAAAG
rnacentral:rRNA from 1 species